UACGUAGGGUGCGAGCGUUAAUCGGAAUUACUGGGCGUAAAGCGUGCGCAGGCGGUUGUGCAAGACAGGUGUGAAAUCCCCGGGCUUAACCUGGGAACUGCACUUGUGACUGCACGGCUAGAGUACGGUAGAGGGGGGAUGGAAUUCCGCGUGUAGCAGUGAAAUGCGUAGAUAUGCGGAGGAACACCGAUGGCGAAGGCAAUCCCCUGGACCUGUACUGACGCUCAUGCACGAAAGCGUGGGGAGCAAACAGG
rnacentral:rRNA from 1 species